rnacentral:misc_RNA from 1 species
AAAGUCGUAACAAGGUUUCCGUAGGUGAACCUGCGGAAGGAUCAUUAUCGUGUGGGGCUCUGCCCCUAAAGGAUGUAGGCCAGCCAAUUCAGAGCCCGUUCCAAUUUGGGUGUUUCUCCCACCAGACGUGGUGGUAGUAACCUCCAUGUUUGGCUGCUUUUUGGAGCAAACGAGGCUUCUUGGAUGACUGGCACACAGUUCACCCCUGUCCAUGAGUACUAUUGUUUCCUCGGCAAGCCUGCUUGCCAAUGAGGACCCCAUAAACCCUUUUUAUGUUAUUGUAACCGUAUUAAACAAACAAUCAAAACUUUCAACAACGGAUCUCUUGGUUCUG